rnacentral:rRNA from 1 species
UACGGGGGGGGCAAGCGUUGUUCGGAAUUACUGGGCGUAAAGGGCUCGUAGGCGGCCAACUAAGUCAGACGUGAAAUCCCCCGGCUUAACCAGAGAACUGCGUCUGAUACUGGAUGGCUUGAGUUUGGGAGAGGGAUGCGGAAUUCCAGGUGUAGCGGUGAAAUGCGUAGAUAUCUGGAGGAACACCGGUGGCGAAGGCGACAUCCUGGACCAACACUGACGCUGAGUGAGCGAAAGCCAGGGGAGCAAACAGG